UACGUAGGAUGCAAGCGUUGUUCGGAAUUACUGGGCGUAAAGAGUACGUAGGCGGUUUGGUAAGUCUGAUAUUAAAGACCGGAGCUCAACUUCGGGGCUGUAUCGGAAACUGUCAGACUAGAGGAUAAUAGAGGAAGUCGGAAUUCUCAGUGUAGCGGUGAAAUGCGUAGAUAUUGGGAAGAACACCAGUGGCGAAAGCGGACUUCUGGGUUAUUACUGACGCUGAGGUACGAAAGCGUGGGGAGCAAACGGG
rnacentral:rRNA from 1 species